rnacentral:rRNA from 1 species
AUUGAACGCUGGCGGCAGGCUUAACACAUGCAAGUCGAGCGGAGUGAUGGUGCUUGCACUAUCACUUAGCGGCGGACGGGUGAGUAAUGCUUAGGAAUCUGCCUAUUAGUGGGGGACAACAUCUCGAAAGGGAUGCUAAUACCGCAUACGUCCUACGGGAGAAAGCAGGGGAUCACUUGUGACCUUGCGCUAAUAGAUGAGCCUAAGUCGGAUUAGCUAGUUGGUGGGGUAAAGGCCUACCACGGCGACGAUCUGUAGCGGGUCUGAGAGGAUGAUCCGCCACACGGGGACUGCGCCCCGGCCCAGACCCCUACGGGAGGCAUCAGUGGGGAAUAUUGGACAAUGGGGGGAACCCUGAUCCAGCCAUGCCGCGUGUGUGAAGAAGGCCUUAUGGUUGUAAAGCACUUUAAGCGAGGAGGAGGCUUACCUAGUUAAUACCUGGGAUAAGUGGACGUUACUCGCAGAAUAAGCACCGGCUAACUCUGUGCCAGCCGCCGCAGUAA